ensembl:lncRNA
CCUCACUAAUUAGAAAAAUGCAAGUAAAAACUGCAAGAUACUACUUCUCAUCCAUUAGGAUGACUACUAUUUAAAAAAAAAAAAAAAAAGCUGGAAUUUAGCUAAAUGGUGCCACACCUGCCUGGCAAGCACAAGGUCCUGAGUUUGAUCCCCAGUACCAAAAAAACAAACAAACAAACAAAAAAACAAAAUAGAAAGUAGCAAGUAUUAAUGAGGGUGUGGAGAAACUAGAACCCUUGUGCACUGUUCUAGGGAAUAUAAAAAGGGAAUAAUUGCUGUAGAAAACAGUAUGAGAGUUCCCCAAAAACUUGAAAAUAAAAUUAACAUAUGAUCCAGCAAUUCUGCCUCUGGGUAUAGACCCAAAAGAAUUAAAAGCAGAGUCUCAAAGAGAUAUUGAUACACCUAUGUUUAUGCAGCAUAUUGACAAUAGCCAAAAGGCAAAUAGAUAAAAUGCAAUCUAUCUAUCUACCUAUCUAUCUAUGAAUAUUAUUCAGCCUCAAAGAGGUAUAAGAUUCUGGCACAUGGUACAACAUUGAUGAACCUUGAGGACAUGGUGCCAAGUGAAAUAACUAGGCAAAAAAGACAAACAUUUACAGUAGUCAAAAUCAUAGACACUAGUAGAAUGACAAUUCCCAUGGAUAGGGGUUUGGUGAACAGGUACAAUGUUUCAGUUUUGUGUGAUAUAAAAAGUUCUGAAGAUUGCUUACACAACAGUGUGAAUGUACUUAACAGUACACUUAAAAUAGGAUGGUGAAUUUUAUGUCAUAUAUAUUCUAUCACAAGUUUUAAAAAAUAUCAAUACAAUAAUUGUCUUUGGAGAGAUAGGAAAAUGUUUUAACUAGGAAGAGGUAUCUUCAUUUAUUGUCAUUUUAUGUUUUUACUAUAAUUUUAUGGAGAUUGAGGAUAAAGUGAGAUAAAAAAUGAGUUUAAAAUAUUGUGGGAAUUUGUGGGUUUUUAUUUUAUUAUUUUUAGGAACGAAUACCAACGUACUAAUGUGUGAAGGAUAAGUUGAAAUCAGGAGAGCCUGAUGACAGUAGGAAUCCGAAGACCAACAGUGCAAUUUGAAGAAGAAGAUCUUGGUAUGCUCAUUUUGCUUGAUUCUAAAGAUCUUCCAAUUUGUAUGGACUCUACUCCUCGGCUUCACUUCCAUCAAAUACUGGAAUUUGGCUUGGAUUAUUUUCAUCCCCCCAAAUAUAGUUCAGCCUCAACCUCAGAUUACCACCCUGUAGUGUAGAUUAUCAAUUAUAAUCAGAUUAUCCAAACUGUAGGUUUACACAGACAACUAGUGAAGUGCAGGUCCAUGUUACAUGAGGAAAGAGAGAGGUGGCAGAGAACUGGGAGACAGGUGGAGAAGACUAGCAUUUAUUGAGCACUAAGGCUGUGUCAUUGAUUAUAAAAAAGUUAUGCCAUUUGAUAUUUAUGAGCACCCUAUAAGACAUUUCCAUUUGCUGUUAUAUAAAUUAAUAAACAGAGACGUGGAAACUUAUAAUAGUCUCAAAAUUAGCUAAGUCAUACAAAAAAAGGAAACUCUUCAGAACUCAGCUAGUCUGUCUGUUCUAGUACCUUCUGCCUUGCCUAGCGUUCCUAGUUGAUGAAACUCAAGCAUAACCAGGGAGAAAGAAGUCAGAAACCAGCCUUUGGUUGAGACAGUAAUACAUUUCUGGCACUUCUCAUUUCUUCAUGUGCCUUCUCAUUUCUAUGGCAAAUAUAUUUCUCUAAACAGAGGACAGGUCUACAUUUUGCCAGUAAGAAACAGAAC